rnacentral:lncRNA from 1 species
CUGGCUAUGAUUCAGCUCUCUAUAAAAGGACACAGAAAGUAGAAGGUUGGCUGGCCACAACUCAUGAAUUUAUCCAAAACUGGAGAUGACAGAAUGUGAAUGGAGGUGAGAGGAGGGUGAAUAAAUUAUUAUCCUUUAACCUCAAUCUCAGUAUCAGGUAAAGUACCAUAUUAAUUUAAUUUCCUGUUUCUUAUUAUUUUAAUGUGGCAAUAAGUUAUUUUGAUUGUUGGUUAAUGAAAGCAAACAAAUUUUGAAAGUUUGCAUUUUGUUUCCUACAUAAAGAAGCAACUCAAAGACUCAGUCAAAACUAUUAUAUUUGUUAUCUUCUACAGCCAUUUAUACUCUAACAAAAAUUUAAGAUAAUGUAUAAGAAAUUAAUUUUUAAUUUUAUAAAAAUACCUCAAUGAUCCCCUGAUAAGCUUUCCUGAAAUGUCUAUGUUCAUGUAAAAUAUGCUUAAGGAUGAACUGCAAUGAAUUAUUUUAGUUAUCUUCUACAGUAAUUGUAGCUACAAUUUAUAUGCACAUUUCAAACUUUCACUUAUUUACAAAAAUUUUUCUGUAUUUCUAAAUCUGAGACUAUUACAAGUGAGCUAGUUUAAUUCAAUAUAAUGUACACUAUUUCCCUUCACUGAAAAUAUGAUUCUAUACCUGGAAAACCCUAAAGACUCUGCCAAAAGGCUCCUCCUGGAACUGGUAAACAACUUCAGUAAAGUUUCAGAAUAUAAAAUCGGUGUACAAAAAUCAGUAGCAUUUCUAUACACCAAUAAUAUUCAAGUUGAGAGCCAAAACAAGAACAUAAUCCCAUUUACAACAGCCACAAAGAAAAUAAAAUACCUAGGACUAUAGCUAACCAAGGAGGUGAAAGAUCUCUACAAGGAGAACUACAAACCACUGCUCAAAGAAAUCAGAGAUGACACAAAUGGAAAAACAUUGAUACUCAUGAAUAGGAAGAACAAUAUUGUUAAAAUGGCCAUACUGCCCAAAGCAAUCUACAGAUUCAACACUAUUCCUACCAAACCACCACCAUCAUUUUUUACAGAUUUAGAUAAAAAAAAUUAUAAAAUUCAUAUGGAACUGAAAAAGAGCCUGAACAGAGAAAGCAAUUGAAAGCAUCAAUAACAAAGCUGGAGGCCUCAUGUUACUUUACUUCAAACUAUAAGUAACCAAAACAGUAUGAUACUGGUACAAAAAUAAACACAUAGACCAAUGGAACAGGAUAGAAAACCCAGAAAUGAGCCAUCUGAUCUUUGACAAAGUUGACAGAAAUAAGCAAUGAAGAAAGGGCUCCCUAUUCAAUGAAUGGUGCUAGGAUAACUCCCUAGCCAUAUGCAAGAGCAUGAAACCGACUGACUGUUAUAUCUUGACCCAUGCAUUUCCUUACAUCACUUUGCAAAAUGUGAGUACCAUGAGGAGAGGUAUCUUUGCUGUUUUUUUCUACAGGAUACUGGCUUGUCCUAGGUUCCUAGAAGAGUGCUUGGAACAUGCUUGGGCCUCAAUAGCCAUUUGUUGAAUGAAUGAGUGACAGUAUGGGAGAAGCAUCUAGGCUGUAUGGCAUCUGUGCACUUGCUUCCUUCUCUCCAUUUCCCAUCCUGAAUCCUAGCCACAAUCCUUACAAUUUUAAAUUGACUUCUCUCACCUUUGCACAACACAGCAAACUAAUAUCAAGCUCUUGUUUUCAUUUAUAAUGACAUAUCACUUAGAAUCCCCCAAAGAGAAAGAUUAUUCCCCAAAUCAAAAUUUCAUUCUUUUCAUCAGUGAACCUACAAAAUAAUU